CACGGUAGCACAGGAGAGCUUGCUCUCUGGGUGACGAGUGGCGGACGGGUGAGUAAUGCAUGGGGAGCUGCCCAAUCGAGGGGGAUACCAGCUGGAAACGGCUGCUAAUACCGCAUACGCCCUGAGGGGGAAAGGUGGGGACCUUCGGGCCUACCGCGAUUGGAUGCACCCAUGUGGGAUUAGCUAGUUGGUGAGGUAACGGCUCACCAAGGCGACGAUCUCUAGCUGGUCUGAGAGGAUGACCAGCCACACUGGAACUGAGACACGGUCCAGACUCCUACGGGAGGCAGCAGUGGGGAAUAUUGCACAAUGGGGGAAACCCUGAUGCAGCCAUGCCGCGUGUGUGAAGAAGGCCUUCGGGUUGUAAAGCACUUUCAGUAGGGAGGAAGGGUUGAUGUCUAAUACGCAUCAACAUUGACGUUACCUACAGAAGAAGCACCGGCUAACUCCGUGCCAGCAGCCGCGGUAAUACGGAGGGUGCAAGCGUUAAUCGGAAUAACUGGGCGUAAAGCGCACGCAGGCGGUUAGAUAAGUCAGAUGUGAAAUCCCCGGGCUCAACCUGGGAACUGCAUUUGAAACUGUCUGACUAGAGUCUUGUAGAGGGGGGUAGAAUUCCAGGUGUAGCGGUGAAAUGCGUAGAGAUCUGGAGGAAUACCGGUGGCGAAGGCGGCCCCCCGGACAAAGGCUGACGCUCAGGUGCG
rnacentral:rRNA from 1 species